GCGGACCGAGAGAGAUCCUUUGCUGAUGGUGGAAAAGUUAACGCGACAGUAGCAGCCUUUUGUGGAGAAAUUCGGAGAUUUGAUAUUGAGAGAUUGAAGGCUGUGAACCCUCGUGAGCUGGAAUUCCCCUUGCUGCGCGUGGGCUUAGCAUGCUCGCCAUUUCCCAUCGCUUCACCUGCUCCAACCUGGUCAUCUGCUCCUCCGUCUGGAUCUUGCUUCAGCAAACACCACCAUCCUCCAGAGACCACUCACCCUGGACCACUGCUGUUACAGGUUUCCAGAACAGUUGUGAAGCUCAGUGUCGUGGCUCCAGCCGUCGCCAUCCUGAUAGGGCUGUCAAUCUUCUUAGCUCCAAGCAAUUCCCAAUUUGAACACUGAGGUUUUCCACUCGGUGCAAAUAUCAUGGAGUACUUAACAGUGACCUUUCCCCCUUCUCCUUUUGACAUCUGGAAUGGUGCCCAAAAGAGCUGAGUGUUGCACAGUCUUCACACCUCCUGAGAGGUAUUUUCAACCAAGUACCACAAACAUGGACGGAGCACUUCCAGCCAAAGGCACCCAGGGGAGCUUCCAAGUGGCAGAGGCUUUGUGCAAAAUGUUGGAUGAGCAUAGAUGGCUAUUCACAUUCAUUUACUACACUAUCUGCACUGAUAGAUACCGCUACAUACCAGUGGGAACGUUUGCUUUAAAUAUAAUCUGGAACGGCCUGCUGUUUGAGAUUUCCCACAGUGCUAUGGAAACACAUCAAUAGUCUAACCGUUAAGUAUCACGUUGUCACAAGCAGACUUACCAUGAAAGUUUUCCUCUCAAGAUACUUGUCGGAUGUGUUGGUCCGCUGCUCCAAAUUGUUCAGUAUCGCUGCUCUAAACCUGCAGGAGGAUGUUGAACAAAUGGACAACUGGCAGUGGAGUUUAAAGGCACCCAAGG
ensembl:lncRNA